rnacentral:rRNA from 1 species
UUAGGAAUAUUGGGCAAUGGAGGAAACUCUGACCCAGCAACGCCGCGUGAAGGAAGAAGGUUUUCGGAUUGUAAACUUCUGAUCUGUGGGAAGAAGGAAAUGACGGUACCACAGGAGAAAGCCACGGCUAACUACGUGCCAGCAGCCGCGGUAAUACGUAGGUGGCGAGCGUUGUCCGGAAUAACUGGGCGUAAAGGGAGCGUAGGUGGUGAUUUAAGUUAGGUGUGAAAGCCCAGGGCUCAACUCUGGAAUUGCACUUAAAACCUGGGUCACUAGAGUGCAGGAGGGGUGAACGGAAUUUCUAGUGUAGCGGUGAAAUGCGUAGAUAUUAGGAAGAACACCGGAGGCGAAGGCGGUUCACUGGACUGCAACUGACACUGAGGCUCGAAAGCGUGGGGAGCAAACAGGAUUAGAUACCC